rnacentral:rRNA from 1 species
AUAUUAUUAAGCGGAGGAAAAGAAACUAACAAGGAUGCCCUCAGUAACGGCGAGUGAAGCGGGCAAAGCUCAACCUGAAAAUCGGGUUUCCAAACGGGAUCUCGAAUUGUGGGCUACAGACGGCUGGUCAGUGUGUGACCCGGGUAUAAGUGUGUUUGGAAUACGCUAUCACAGAGGGUGAUAAUCCCGUUCGUGACCCGGAGUUCGCCGCGUACGACCGCUGUUCGCAGAGUCGCGUUGUUUGGGAUUGCAGCGCUAAAUGGGUGGUAAAUUUCAUCUAAAGCUAAAUAUCGACGAGAGACCGAUAGCGCACAAGUA